rnacentral:rRNA from 1 species
GACGUAGGGCGCGAGCGUUUGUCCGGAUUUAUUGGGCGUAAAGAGCUCGUAGGCGGCUUGUCGCGUCGACUGUGAAAACUCGGGGCUCAACUCCGAGCUUGCAGUCGAUACGGGCAGGCUAGAGUUCGGUAGGGGAGGACUGGAAUUCCUGGUGUAGGCGGUGAAAAUGCGCAGAUAUCAGGAGGAACACCGAUGGCGAAGGCAGGUCUCUGGGCCGAUACUGACGCUGAGGAGCGAAAGCGUGGGGAGCGAACAGG